rnacentral:rRNA from 1 species
AUUGAACGCUGGCGGCAUGCCUUACACAUGCAAGUCGAACGGCAGCACGGGGCAACCUGGUGGCGAGUGGCGAACGGGUGAGUAAUGCAUCGGAACGUACCUUUCAGUGGGGGAUAACGUAGCGAAAGUUACGCUAAUACCGCAUAUUCUGUGAGCAGGAAAGCAGGGGAUCGCAAGACCUUGCGCUGAUUGAGCGGCCGAUGUCAGAUUAGCUAGUUGGUGAGGUAAAGGCUCACCAAGGCGACGAUCUGUAGCGGUGUCUGAGAGGAUGAUCCGCCACACUGGAACUGAGACACGGUCCAGACUCCUACGGGAGGCAGAAGUGGGGAAUUUUGGACAAUGGGGGCAACCCUGAUCCAGCCAUGCCGCGUGAGUGAAGAAGGCCUUCGGGUUGUAAAGCUCUCUCGGCCGGGAAGAAAUCGCACGGGCUAAUACCCUGUGUGGAUGACGGUACCGGAAUAAGAAGCACCGGCUAACUACGUGCCAGCCGCCGCCGUAA